CAGCUCUUGCCAAACUUACACAUGCAAGUAUCCGCACCCCUGUGAAAAUGCCCUACAGUUCCCUGCUUGGGAACAAGGAGCUGGUAUCAGGCACAAACAUUUAUGCCCAUGACGCCUUGCUAAGCCACACCCCCAAGGGAACUCAGCAGUGAUAGACAUUAAGCCAUGAGUGAAAACUUGACUUAGUUAAAGCAAAGAGGGCCGGUAAAACUCGUGCCAGCCACCGCGGUUAUACGAGAGGCCCAAGUUGAUAAGCACCGGCGUAAAGAGUGGUUAUGGACGCCCCUUGAACUAAAGCCAAAUGCUCUCAAGGCUGUUAUACGCAUCCGAGAGCCAGAAGUUCGACCACGAAAGUGGCUUUAAACUACCUGAACCCACGAAAGCUAUGGAACAAACUGGGAUUAGAUACCCCACUAUGCCUAGCCCUAAACAUCGAUAACAUACUACGACCGUUAUCCGCCAGGGAACUACGAGCAUUAGCUUAAAACCCAAAGGACUUGGCGGUGCUUUAGAUCCACCUAGAGGAGCCUGUUCUAGAACCGAUGAUCCCCGUUCAACCUCACCUCUCCUUGUUCCUCCCGCCUAUAUACCGCCGUCGUCAGCUUACCCUGUGAAGGCCUAAAAGUAAGCAAAAUUGGCAAAGCCCAAAACGUCAGGUCGAGGUGUAGCGUAUGGAGAGGGAAGAAAUGGGCUACAUUCAGUGACCCACUGAAUUACGGAGGACGGACUGAAACGUCCGUCUGAAGGAGGAUUUAGCAGUAAGCAGGAAAUAGAGUGUCCCGCUGAAACCGGCCCUGAAGCGCGUACACACCGCCCGUCACUCUCCCCGAAAACAUCACGAAAGUACCUAAGACCUUACUACAAUAAAGGGAGGCA
rnacentral:ncRNA from 1 species